AAGGGUAUAGCUCAGUGGUAUAGAGAGCAUGCCUAGCAUGCACGAGGUCCUGGGUUCAAGCCCCAGGACCUCCA
rnacentral:tRNA from 1 species